UUUUUUUGUCUGGCUUCCUCCAAAGGCCUGAACCCAAUGCAGAGCAGACAGAGAGCGGCUUGCCCCGUGUCCCUUGUGCACAUCACCCAGUCCCAUCCUCUGCAUGAUGUGGAAAACCAGAUGUGAUGAUGUGAGCCAGAUGGGCCUCAUCCCCUUGUCCUGAAUGUAUUAAGAGAAGAUUGCCAUAAUGAAGAGACGAUAAGGAUUGUAAAUGUGCUAAACUGACACUCCUCUACAGAUGGGCCUCAUCCCCUUGUCCUAAAUGUAUUAGAGAAGGUUGCCAUAAUGAAGAGACGAUAAGGAUUGUUUGUAGACCUUGGGCAAUUAUUAAUUGUAUCAAAUGCACUUUUAUUCUUAAAAAGAGAAAGGAUUCCCCUGGUGUUCCAAAAACAUAUUAUUUAUUAGGACCAACAUUUUUUUUUUAAUCACAAGUCCCUUGGAUUCCUUGGGUGAGAAGGUUUUGAGUGUUAAAUUAUUAAAUAGGACCUAUUACGCUCAUUUUCAAUGUUCAUAAUUUAAUUUUUGGGGUCCGUUGUUCCGAAAACACAUUUCUUAGGACCAAAGCUGUUUUUCAGAUCACCAGUCAGUUUACCAGUGUGUGGUGAACAGUUUAACAGUUUACCAGUGUGUGUGGGAAUGAGUUUCUAAAUUCUAUACCAGUCCAUAUGCUUGCUGAAGGUGAGGAUUCAUUAAGGAAGACAUCCAAACCGUCAGCACCCAUCACAAUGUGCCUUAUGUGUUAAUCUCACUCAUUUUGUAGAGAUGCAUAAUGUCAUUUUUGAUCACUGACCACUCAGAUUCUCUGGCCCAGAAAGCCAGUUUACAAAGCUGCUGUAUGCCAAAUACCUGUAACAGCUGAGCAAAGUUCACAUUGUUUAUAUGAAGGGAACAGUAAAUGGUGACACAUUUCUAUUCAUGUGCACUGAUUUUGUUACUUUUUUUGUUACUGAUUUUAUUACCUGUAGACAAUCAGCUCUGUCAUCAGUACAUUGAAUAACUUAAAAAAGCUCUGUUACAUUUUGAUAUGACAAUUUUUCUGGCAAUAAAAGUGUACAUAA